GAUGAACGCUAGCGGCAGGCUUAACACAUGCAAGUCGAGGGGCAGCAUGAACCGACCUUCGGGAAGGUUUGUAUGGCGACCGGCGCAAGGGUGCGUAACGCGUGAGUAACCUGCCUUACAGAGGGGGACGAACAGUUGGAAACGACUGCUAAUACCGCAUAAUGUCUAACCGAGGCAUCUCGGAUAGACCAAAGGAGCAAUCCGCUGUAAGAUGGACUCGCGUCCAAUUAGAUAGUUGGUAGGGUAACGGCUCACCAAGGCGACGAUGCGUAGCCGACCUGAGAGGGUGAUCGGCCACAUUGGGACUGAGACACGGCCCAGACUCCUACGGGAGGCAGCAGUGGGGGAAUAUUGCACAAUGGGGGGAAACCCUGAUGCAGCAACGCCGCGUGAGUGAUGACGGCCUUCGGGUU
rnacentral:rRNA from 1 species